rnacentral:rRNA from 1 species
UGAGUACGAGACGCUAAGGCGUCGAAGUAGUGUAUGUCAUACUUCCAAGAAAAGCUUGCACUGUCAUUCAUAAAAAAUGCCUGUACCAUAACCGACACAGGUGGGUAGGUAGAGUAUACUAAGGGGCGCGAGAUAACUCUCUCUAAGGAACUCGGCAAAAUAACUCCGUAACUUCGGGAGAAGGAGUGCCUUAUUUAUAUAAGGUUGCAACAACAAGAUCCAAGCAACUGUUUACCAAAAACACAGGUCUCCGCUAAGUCGCAAGACGAUGUAUGGGGGCUGACGCCUGCCCAGUGCCAGAAGGUUAAAGAAGUUGGUUAGCAAUAGCGAAGCUAGUAACUGAAGCCCUGGUGAACGGCGGCCGUAACGAUAACGGUCCUAAGGUAGCGAAAUUCCUUGUCGGGUAAGUUCCGACCCGCACGAAAGGCGUAAUGAUUUGGAUACUGUCUCGGAGAGGGACUCGGUGAAAUAGACUUGUCUGUGAAGAUGCGGACUACCUGCACCAGGACAGAAAGACCCUAUGAAGCUUUACUGUAACUUGAAAUUGAAAUUGGACUUUAUUCGCGCAGUAUAGGUGGGAGGCAUUGAAAAUAAUCUUGCGGGAAUAUUGGAGCCAUCAGUGAGAUACCACUCUUGUAAUGUUAGAUUUCUAACUUUGAAUCAUUAUCUGGUCAAAGAACAGUUUCAGGCGGGCAGUUUGACUGGGGCGGUCGCCUCCCAAAUGGUAACGGAGGCGUACAAAGGUUUCCUCUGAACGGGUAGAAAUCGUAUCUAGAGUGUAAAGGCAAAAGGAAGCUUGACUGUGAGACCUACAAGUCGAGCAGGGACGAAAGUCGGUCUUAGUGAUCUGACGGUACUGAGUGGAAAGGCCGUCACUCAACGGAUAAAAGUUACUCUAAGGAUAACAGGCUGAUCUCCCCCAAGAGUUCACAUCGACGGGGAGGUUUGGCACCUCGAUGUCGGCUCAUCGCAUCCUGGGGCGGUAGUACGUCCCAAGGGUUGGGCUGUUCGCCCAUGAAAGCGGUACGCGAGCUGGGUUCAGAACGUCGUGAGACAGUUCGGUCCAUAUCCGGUGUAGGCGUUAGAAUAUUGAGAGGAGCCUUCUUUAGUACGAGAGGACCGAGAAGGACAUACCUCUGGUGUACCAGUUAUCGUGCCAACGGUAAACGCUGGGUAGCUAUGUAUGGAGUGGAUAACCGCUGAAAGCAUCUAAGUGGGAAGCCCACCUCAAGAUGAGUAUUCUCAAAG